CCUUUGACAACUCUAGAGAUAGAGCUUUCCCCUUCGGGGGACAAAGUGACAGGUGGUGCAUGGUUGUCGUCAGCUCGUGUCGUGAGAUGUUGGGUUAAGUCCCGCAACGAGCGCAACCCUUAAGCUUAGUUGCCAUCAUUAAGUUGGGCACUCUAAGUUGACUGCCGGUGACAAACCGGAGGAAGGUGGGGAUGACGUCAAAUCAUCAUGCCCCUUAUGAUUUGGGCUACACACGUGCUACAAUGGACAAUACAAAGGGCAGCGAAACCGUGAGGUCAAGCAAAUCCCAUAAAGUUGUUCUCAGUUCGGAUUGUAGUCUGCAACUCGACUACAUGAAGCUGGAAUCGCUAGUAAUCGUAGAUCAGCAUGCUACGGUGAAUACGUUCCCGGGUCUUGUACACACCGCCCGUCACACCACGAGAGUUUGUAACACCC
rnacentral:rRNA from 1 species